rnacentral:rRNA from 1 species
AUUGAACGCUGGCGGCAUGCCUUACACAUGCAAGUCGAACGGCAGCGGGGACUUCGGUCCGCCGGCGAGUGGCGAACGGGUGAGUAAUGUAUCGGAACGUACCAUUCAGUGGGGGAUAACUAUCCGAAAGGAUAGCUAAUACCACAUAUUCUGUGAGCAGGAAAGCAGGGGAUCGCAAGACCUUGCGCUGAUUGAGCGGCCGAUAUCAGAUUAGCUAGUUGGUGAGGUAACGGCUCACCAAGGCUACGAUCUGUAGCGGGUCUGAGAGGAUGAUCCGCCACACUGGGACGGAGACACGGCCAGACUCCUACGGGAGGCAGCAGUGGGGAAUUUUGGACAAUGGGCGCAAGCCUGAUCCAGCCAUGCCGCGUGAGUGAAGAAGGCCUUCGGGUUGUAAAGCUCUUUCGGCCGGGAAGAAAUCGCAUCAGCUAAUACCUGGUGUGGAUGACGGCACCGGAAUAAGAAGCACCGGCUAACUACGUGCCAGCCGCCGCGGUAAGAC